GACUACAUGAAGCUGGAAUCGCUAGUAAUCGCGAAUCAGAAUGUCGCGGUGAAUACGUUCCCGGGUCUUGUACACACCGCCCGUCACACCAUGGGAGUCGGGAAAUGCCCGAAGUCAGUGACCCAACCGUAAGGAGGGAGCUGCCGAAGGCAGGCUCGAUAACUGGGGUGAAGUCGUAACAAGGUAUC
rnacentral:rRNA from 1 species